rnacentral:rRNA from 1 species
UACGUGAGGGGCAAGCGUUGUCCGGAUUUAUUGGGCGUAAAGAGCGUGUAGGCGGCCAGGUAGGUCCGUUGUGAAAACUCGAGGCUCAACCUCGAGACGUCGAUGGAAACCAUCUGGCUAGAGUCCGGAAGAGGAGAGUGGAAUUCCUGGUGUAGCGGUGAAAUGCGCAGAUAUCAGGAAGAACACCCGUGGCGAAGGCGGCUCUCUGGGACGGUACUGACGCUGAGACGCGAAAGCGUGGGGAGCGAACAGG